rnacentral:rRNA from 1 species
GAUGAACGCUGGCGGCGUGCCUAAUACAUGCAAGUCGAGCGAACAGACGAGGAGCUUGCUCCUCUGACGUUAGCGGCGGACGGGUGAGUAACACGUGGAUAACCUACCUAUAAGACUGGGAUAACUUCGGGAAACCGGCGCUAAUACCGGAUAAUAUAUUGAACCGCAUGGUUCAAUAGUGAAAGACGGUUUUGCUGUCACUUAUAGAUGGAUCCGCGCCGCAUUAGCUAGUUGGUAAGGUAACGGCUUACCAAGGCGACGAUGCGUAGCCGACCUGAGAGAGUGAUCGGCCACACUGGAACUGAGACACGGUCCAGACUCCUAUGGGAGGCAGCAGUAGGGAAUCUUCCGCAAUGGGCGAAAGCCUGACGGAGCAACGCCGCGUGAGUGAUGAAGGUCUUCGGAUCGUAAAACUCUGUUAUUAGGGAAGAACAAAUGUGUAAGUAACUAUGCACGUCUUGACGGUACCUAAUCAGAAAGCCACGGCUAACUACGUG